CCUACGGGCGGCUGCAGUAAGGAAUAUUGGUCAAUGGAGGAAACUCUGAACCAGCCAUCCCGCGUGAAGGAUGAAGGGGCUCUGCCUUGUAAACUUCUUUUGUCUGGGGCGAAAAAGCUCGAUUUAUCGAGAACUGACGGUACCCGAAGAAUAAGCACCGGCUACCUCCGUGCCAGCAGCCGCGGUAAUACGGAGGGUGAAAGCGUUAUCCGGAAUCACGGGGGCGAAAGGGUGCGUAGGCGGCUUAGUAGAAAGGCUGGGGCUUAACCAUGGAAUUGCCAUUGAUACUGCAGAGCUUGAAUGAGGUUGAGGUUGGCGGAAUGUGACAUGUAGCGGUGAAAUGCUUAGAUAUGUCAUGGAACACCGAUUGCGAAGGCAGCUGACUGGACCUAUAUUGACGCUGAGGCACGAAAGCGUGGGGAGCGAACAGGAUUAGAUACCCUGGUAGUC
rnacentral:rRNA from 1 species